UUGCCUUCUCCAAGUUAGUA
rnacentral:siRNA from 1 species